GGGGAAUCAUACUCUGGUGAUUGAGAUAUAAAAUAGUAUAGUUUUGAAAUGGUAACUUUUUUUGCAUUUCCUAUAUUUUUUGUACAUGCUGCAUUUAAUUGUACACUGUGAGACAUUUCUUUCUGAAACUGUAGGUGGUGUUUAUUUUUGGCAUACACAGGACUUUUAGACUCCACAUUUCCAGUAAAUUUCACGUUGGCCUUAUGUAUCCAACCACAGUUACCAAUUAUGUUCUCUUGAGUGAAGAAAGCUAUAUAAUUAAAAUAGGAGCUUUUAUUUUUUUCUUCUAAAAUUGUUUUAGACCCAUUUAAAUUUUUGCCUAGUUUACAUUGUUUUUAAUUAGAAGAAAGUUAUAUUUUUCACGAGACACCUUUGUGUGUGUGUACAUCUUUAAUUAUAUCUUUGGGGCUGGGUAGUGUUUUACUUCUUAGUUGUUAAUGUGCCAUUUCUAAGGAUUUCAUAGUCCCUUAGGGUGUUUUUGUCAGGUGAGCAAUUCUUUUUCCUCUUUUGGCUCUCAACCAUUGAAUUGGUCUUGAUUAUUGAAAUAGCGUAGACAGAAUAACUGUUUAGGUUGAUUUUAAGACUGAAUAAUUGAGAAGCCUGUAGUUGAAAAAGUCUGCGUAGUGCUGGAAAAUUGUGCCUGUUUGCACACCUGUCUAGUAGUGUCCGGUGAUGUGGUAGAUACUUAAAAGAGAAAGGCAGGUCUGCUCGUGUCUUUCCCCUACUUAAUGUCCUUCGUGGCUGCACGUUUUCUGUCCUUCGUGGCUGCACGGUUUCUGUCACGCUUUCUGUCAAAAGUCCACAUGGUGUGAUCUGCCGGCUGCCUGCUCCUGUGAGGGCUCCUGCCUACUCUGCCCACUCUGCUCCAGGUCGCCAUGGCCUUGCAGUUUCCCCAGUGCACCCUGCAUGCUCCUGCUCAGCUGCUUCUCCUCUCUGUCUUCCAGUUCGUGCCUUUAGAGCUUUCGAAUCUCAGCUUCAGUGUUCCUUCUUCAGAGAGGUCGCCUUUGUCACUAUCCUCAGUUCUCGAGGCUCGAUCCUGUCUGCCGCACAGCACUUGUCCAGGAGGGCCGUUGUUGAAUGAGUGACAUGGCUACUGUCCUGGAGGAGCUCAACACUUUGGGUUGCUGACACGCCUGCACACACAGUGAAGUGUGAAACAGUUAAUGUAUAUUUUGAACUCCAUCUAAAUAGACCAAUCACUACAACAAAGACCCAAGAAACAAAAAACCCAAAGUGAGUACAAUAACAUAAUACACAUCUACAUUUUUCUGUUGACCUCUGUCUCCUCUC
rnacentral:lncRNA from 1 species